rnacentral:lncRNA from 1 species
GUAAAGCGUUAGUUAGCCUAGCAGGUAAACGGACAACUAACCUAGUUAGCUGGGACACACUCUUUUUUUUCUCAACCACUUCGAUAGAGCUACGACCGGAAAUGAUAUUAAUAGCAGGUUAGGAGGGCAGUUUUGCUAACCAUAAUUAUUUUCAUAACCUUAUUAACAAAAUUGUCCUAACCUGCUACACUGAUUCUCAUAACCCGUUGCGUAAUAAUUUGUCCUAAUCUGCUACGAGAAAGGUAACUUCCGGUCGUAGCUGUAUCGAAGUGGCGUGAAGAGUGUUUCUCAUAGUUAGAUAGCUACAUCUCCAAAUACGAUGUAGGCAUUUGCAGGCACUUGGCUAGCUCAUUUAUAUAGGGGAAAUUACAUUAUCUGUCUAGCUCAUUUAGAAAUGAAUGUCAUCGGGGGGUUUUGAUUAGUUUGUCUUUUGUAGAGACAUUGGUGCAAAAUGGAUGUUGACGUUAAACUAGAGGAAGAUGAGAGGGAGAUAUCCCAAACAAUAAUUUGGUCUGAUUCGAUUAAUGCCUGGAUAGAUUACCCAAAUUCAACAUUGUCAGGAAACACAGAAACAGGUUACCAUGUGGGUUUACUGAAAGAUAAUUCACAUGUACAUCCCAUCAGUCCCCAAACAACAAGCCAAGGGCAGAUUUUACGUAUUUUUCCUGAAAUGACCGGAGCAAGUGAUGUGGAGAACAGGGCUGUCAAAGUGGUUUAUUUCUGUAAAGAUCAAGAUACCAUCGGCACAUCUGAAGUUAAUUCAAUCAAAGAGCGAUCGUGGCAUUUAGCACCAUCCAGUGAUAUUCUGACAGGACAUGCAUCCGCCUUCAGUGGUUAUUUUGAAGCUGAAAUCAACCCAACUUCGCAGGUUUCUUGCCAAACACAGACCCAGAUCAAUAAUGAAUUGCCCUCUGACAAUGUUAAUAUCCCAAGCCAUAGUACUGCCAUUCAUUCUGUGCUAACCUCACCUGCUACAGAAAGCGGCUGUAAUUUAGCUGUAUCUACUAGGCCUAUUCUUCCAGAAUAUUGUGAGCCAUUGAACUUUCCCUCUGAUGAAGAGGAAAACUACAAUGUCAAUUUAAGACAAAGACUACAAUGCCAGAAAACGUUAGAGGAUAAAUAUAUACGUCAGUGUCGUGGCAGUUACUCAAGACCAAACCUAAGAAAGUUUGGGAAAUACUGGAAAGAUCCAUACGCCAAGUGCAAGGAGAUGGGUGUAGAUUUCAAUGUUGGAUCAGGAGCGAAACAGAAACUUGAUUUGCAUUUACUGACAUUUGGUGUAAUGCUUGAGGUGUCAGAAUAUGCUAGAAACAUUAAUAGAUCUCGCCCUCAUGUUAUCUUUGAUAUUCUAGAUUACAACUUUGGUCUUGGUGUACAAAAUGAACAACAAUAUGACUUUUCAAACAAGAUAGAAAAGAAAUUAAAAGAAAUGCUGAAGAUGCAUUCCAAGAGAACACCUGCGUGGUUAACAGAAGUGUUUGAACUUCCUGAUCCAAAGACGGUUAAAGUUUUGGAAUACUCCCUUAAAUGGGCACAGUUCUAUUUACAAAACAGCUGGUCAAAUCCUACACCGUUUGACAUUUGCAUAAAGGAGGAGCCUGUUGUUGGCCUGAUCUCUCCUCUGCAUGUGACGACAGAGAGCUUCUCUACCGAGACAGAUGUAACACGAUGUGCUGAUGAGACUGCAAUCCUUGGCCCUGAAAAUGGACGUAAUGAUAUCUGCACAAGGUAUGAACCUGAUAUGGGCAUCGUCUAUCCUCAACAUGUCCAGGCGGACACCUUCACAUCUCAGACAGAUAUAACAAUGGGCCAAUCCUUAAUAAUGCCCACUGUAGAAGAAGCAUUGAGGGACCUCUACCCCAUCUGUAAGGAAAAAGGACUUGACAUUGUUGUGAAAUCAAAAUAUGGGAAAGCUGAGAAACUUGACUUGCAUCUAUUGACCAGAGAUGUAAUGUUUGAAUUGGCUGAUUUUGCCUCACAAGUGUGUGGAAAUUGGAAGCAGAUUGUGUGUGAGGUUCUCGAGCAUAAUUUUGAUUUGGAUUUAAAAAGUGGUAAAACUGAGCUGGCUGAAGAUAUUAUGGGAAGGUUAAGAGCAGUUUUGCAGCGCAAGACGGGUAAAAACGGUACAUGGAGAUGGGAACUUGAAAAUGAAGCUUUCUUCUUAAAGAAGUCACGCAAACGAAAGAAUCCUGCAGAGAUGUCCAGUAACCAGAAGGUCACUACAGCAUCACUUGAGCCAAAAUACCAAAUGAAAGAAGUAUCAAAAAGAAGGAGAUUGAAUUUAAUGAGGAAGAAGAAAGACAUGGACAUGUUUGUAACCAAGGAGACUGAGGGAGGCCAUUUUUUUGAAGUCAUACAAAUAGAACCUCAUUGUGUCAAAACAGAGAGAAUCUCUGAUGACACUGACCUUGCACUUUGUACUGAUGAAACAAAGCAAAUUGGUAACAACAAUGUAGACCAAUCAAAUGUGACGUCUCACACCAAAAAAAUGGUGAAAGCCGAAGCGUGCUACCCACUCUGUGAGGAAAUAGGCGUGGACCUUGAUGUUGCAUCCAAACCUUCUAAAAAUAAACUGGAAUUUCACUUACUGACAAACGGUGUAAUAUUUGAGGUGUAUAAAUAUGCUAAGAUAAAAUCCUAUCAUAAAAAAGAAAAAAGAUUUGGCUAUAUUCUCUUUGAUAUUCUAAAAUAUAAUUUUGAUCUUAGUUUGCAAAAUCAGAGACGUAAUCUAUUUCAACUGCGUAUUAACUGUAAAGUGAAAAGAAUGGUUCAGAAACACAAACCUGAGCUCUUGGGAAAAGGAGAAAUCUCUAAAGAAGUGUUCAUACUACCGAGUGUGAUUAAAAGCCAAGCAAAAAAAAAAACUGUGCUUUCAGAUUAUUUUCCUGAAAAAAAUAUAGAACAAGAUGCAAGGCUGGUUUAUCCUCAUCAUAGUAAAGACACUAUCGCUGUGGAGACAGUUGAAACAAUCUCCACUGAUGAAGCAGUAAUGCUUGGCCAGGAUAAUGGACCUGCUGACAUCUGCAUAAAGGAGGAGUCUGAUCUUCACUCUGAGGUCAAACUGGUUUAUUUCUGCAAAGACCAAGAAACUGUCAGAACAUCUGAAGAGCAUUUGAUCAAAGAUGGAUCAUGGCAUGGAUCAACACCCAGUAAUAUUCUGACUGGAAAUGUAUUCAGCCUUCCACAGUCGCCACUACCAGCUGCAGAAAGUGGUCCUUUCGGAAGUAAAAUCAAGUCAACAUCACAGAUAUAACCAGAAGGUCCCUGCAGCAUCACUUGAGCCAAAAUACCAUAGGCUCACAGAAGUAACAGGGGGAAAAAAGGGAUUUAAUGAGGAUAAAUAAAUGUUUAUAGCCAAGAAGGAAAAGAAAGUUGUCAGACAAGUAGAACCUCAUUGAGAUGAGAUGGAGAGCAUCUGCCAAGGAAAAGAAAAGCACUUCCUGACUGAGCUCUCAGGGAAAAGAAAAGCACUUCCUGACUGAGCUCUCAGGGAAAAGAAAAGCACUUCCUGACUGAGAUCUCAGGGAAAAGAAAAGCACUUCCUGACUGAGCUCUCAGGGAAAAGAAAAGCACUUCCUGACAGAUCUCAGGGAAAAGAAAAGCACUUCCUGACUGAGAUCUCAGGGAAAAGAAAAGCACUUCCUGACUGAGCUCUCAGGGAAAAGAAAAGCACUUCCUGACUGAGAUCUCAGGGAAAAGAAAAGCACUUCCUGACUGAGCUCUCAGGGAAAAGAAAAGCACUUCCUGACUGAGCUCUCAGGGAAAAGAAAAGCACUUCCUGACUGAGCUCUCAGGGAAAAGAAAAGCACUUCCUGACUGAGAUCUCAGGGGAAAAAAAGAUGCAAGAUGGAAAGAAAAGUCUGAUCUGCUCCCUAGGGAAAAGCCAGUUUCUUAUUUGCCUGGGGGAAAAAAAGAUUGAUAUUGUUAUAUGUGAUGAAGUGCAACACGAGGUGGAUUCUUACUGAACUUUCAAAAUGCUUUGUAGUUGAGACUGGUUCUGAGAAGAAAUGCUAACAAAUCCUUGCUGAAUACAGAUCAGACAUCCUAGGAUUUGGGGGCUAUUAUAUUGGUCUUUUGGAUCAUACUUGGAAUGUGAAAAGGUUCCUAAUGUUAGUUUUAGGUCUCCCUGAAGUCCGUAGACUUCCAUUCUAUUACUCACCCUAGAACAGUCAACAAGCCUAACACGGAUGUGUAUUCAUUAGGCAUACUGUAGCUAAAUGUUUCAUGGGGAGUCAACAAACCUAACACAGAUGUGUAUUCAUUAGGCAUACUGUAGCUAAAUGUUUCAUGGGGAGUCAACAAGCCUAACACAGAUGUGUAUUCAUUAGGCAUACUGUAGCUAAAUGUUUCAUGGGGAGGCUACACUAACGCUUCUUGGACCAAUUCAGAAAUUGGUACACAAGGAGUAGCCUAGUCUUUUUAGGAUUAAGUGAAAAUAGGGAGACAAUAUAUUUUAAACGUAUUCGUAUUAAGGGUUUUAGUCUUUUGAAUAGUGGAUUUUUGCAGAUUGCCUUGGCCUUCCUUCCUGUUUAACUGUUGAUGUCUGGUCUCGCUGUAGAGAAUGAAUACAGCAGGAUUAUUGCGAGACUUAUUUUUUUUCUCUUAACUAUUUUACACCGUAUUCAUUGAUGAGACAAACUCGACUACUUUUACAAGCCUCUAUAUAGAAGAAAACUUCUGAUCUUUUUUUGUUUAGAAAUAAAAAGACAAACAGAUAUAUUUUAUUUUGUAAGAGUAUGCAUUAGUGAAAUAACCUACUAUGAUGGGUCAUGUUUUUAUCUUUUUUUUUUAUCAGUGGGCUAUUUUGAUUUUUUUUUUUUUGCCCUUUUUUUGUGGAAAGGUUAAGAGACUGCAUCAAGACCUGCCUUACUGUUACCCACAUGUUCCUGUUUUGAACAUGGAGCUAUUCUACCACAUGGCGUAUGAAUCAGAAUCCGUAGCUAGUUAUGACACGUGAGCUUCUGGAUGAAAAGCAGAGUAUCCCUAAAGCAGCGUGGUCGUAUCAUCCCUUCUCCAUGUUGGACUAAACACUUUCAACUCUACACAAGUGAAAACCCCAAAUCCCUAAAGUGGUGGAGAAGGAGGCCACCUACAGAAUGUUAGGAGCAGUGGCUUGUUCCCAGGAGACCAACACUUGAGGACGCAACUUCUGUCAUGAUGACGAGGUGGCAUCUCCGCUGAUCCUCUAUUUGCCAUACUAGAGGGACAUGAAGUCUGACUCCAUCUUCAACAUGUGGACCUGCCCUGAUGAUGUUGGACACCACUGUUACACCUUCAGCCAUGUUGAUUUCCUGUCAGACUGGGUUUUUUAUUUUUUACUCCUUUCCAUGGACGGACUGACCUUUUACCAGAACAGGAAUACAAUGUUUAUCAGACCCUCCUCACCAGUGGACUAACUACUCAAACUGGUCGUGAAGUCACAGGAAAUAGACUGAUCUGUUAGGAGGGAUGCAGCAUUCUAAUCCUGGUUAGAUUAUAGUUAUAAGGAGAGUUCAGGUAGUAACCAGUACAUUGAGAUAAAUGUAGAUGUCCACACUCUGGACAAUAUAAAAGGCUUUGGAGAGGGACCACGUUUUCAGGAGAAGGAUAACAGGACCUUGUCCAGAAACAACCCCCAGCUCUGUAUGCAACUGUAUGCA